rnacentral:rRNA from 1 species
UACAGAGGGUGCGAGCGUUGUUCGGAAUUACUGGGCGUAAAGCGCGCGCAGGCGGCUCUUUAAGUCUACCCGUGAAAUGCCGGAGCUCAACUCCGUGCACGCCGGGGGAUACUGGGAGGCUGGAGACAGGUAGAGGCAAGCGGAAUUCCGGGUGUAGUGGUGAGAUGCGUAGAGAUCCGGAGGAACACCAGUGGCGAAGGCGACACGCUGGGCCAUACCUGACGCUAAAGCGCGACAGCAUGGGGAGCAAACGGG